rnacentral:rRNA from 1 species
UACGGGGGGAGCAAGCGUUGUUCGGAUUUACUGGGCGUAAAGGGCGCGUAGGCGGCGUGACAAGUCACUUGUGAAAUCUCCGGGCUUAACUCGGAACGGUCAAGUGAUACUGUCGUGCUAGAGUACAGAAGGGGCAACUGGAAUUCUCGGUGUAGCGGUGAAAUGCGUAGAUAUCGAGAGGAACACCUGCGGCGAAGGCGGCCAUCUGGACCAGCACUGACGCUGAGGCACGAAAGCGUGGGGAGCAAACAGG